rnacentral:hammerhead_ribozyme from 1 species
AUGCAAGUGAUGAGUCUCGAAUAGGACGAAACGCGCGUCAAACUGGAU